UUCUUACUUUAUUGCCUAUUUCCUUUGCCUUGAGAAAAACUCAUCGUUUUGUUGUCUUCCUGAACAAAAGCAAGUAUCACACAUUUAAAUUGGUCUCACAGUUUAUUUUCUGUAAUCAGACGGAAAAAUCUGAUUUCCUUUAUUUGUCCAGUAAACCAGCGCAAAGCGAACACGAUGCUGCCACGCCGUCACUGGAACCCGAGCUCACCUUCCAACAAUAAAACACACGAGCAGAGACCCGAGGAGAGGAGGCGGCGUGCACCCGGCCCACAUCAGCCCAACAUCAUUUCAAGGCCCGGACGAGAGGCGUGGAGCAGGUGUGACGGAGGCAAGACGUACUGAAGUCUGCUCCCGACUGACAGAAAACCCCCACCGGCUGCAGAAUGGGAUGGUUUGGGACAAGCCAGCGCCGUCCCUCCGGAGCGGAGCUUCCUCGGGCCGUGAACCGAGUGCCUGCUGCGGCCUCUCUUCCUGCGGGCACGUCGGAGCCCUGUUAGCCUCCCCGGUGCCACUGUUAACAUAACUAAGGAGCCUCCUCGCUGGCGUUUUCCUCAGCCGGGUCGACAACCCGCUGACUUCCCCUGCAACUCAGACUCCGUCUCUCUUCAGAAGCGCUGUUACAAGUAAAAGCUCCACAUUCAAAACGUUACCAAAGUGAAAGUACAAGAGUGUUAACAGUGAAAUAACGUAUACUCGUUGUGCAGAAUCUCAAGUAUGAUAUUUACUGGAGGUCAAUGGUUCUUUAAGAUGUUUAUCACAUAAUUGUUGAAGCCGGUGAAGGUGGAGCCAAUUUGGUACUUUUCAUACUAUUAUACUAUUUAUGUUCAUUACUACUUAUUAUGGUAUCAUUCCGUUUGUAUAGCUUUUAAUUUAUAUUUAUACCUACAGUAGAAACUAAUUGAAUAAAUGUAAUGAACUAGAAGCACGAAGUUGCAUGACAUGUAUAUAUUUAAGUGGAGGGCAAGUACCUCAAAAUUGUGCUUAAGUUCUUUGAUUGAGUAGCAGGAAAAACAUAAGAAAUUGAAUUAAAACUCCACAAUAUCACCAUUUUCCAUAAUAACGAAUAACUGGUAUCAGAUCAGACUGUCAGAAUGUAUGAUUAUAUUUUCAUAGAAUGUGUUUGAUUUUAUAUCCACUGUUUCUGAUGUACAAUGUGUGGUUGAUAUCCUAAACUACAUUGAGGUGAGUCUUUAUUUGCACAUCAUAUAAGCAUAAGAAUAGUUUUCUUCAUAUGGUUAAAUAAUGUGGGUAAAGCACAAUGAGCAAUGAGAUGGCUAAAGGAUUCAUUCGGGUGAGUUCGACAACAGUCCUGCACGACGUUGGCUAAAAAUACACGCAUAAAUCAUUUCACAUUUACAUUUUUCAUUUAGCUGACGCUUUUAUCCACAUCGACUCACAGAGCUUUUAUUUCAGUUUGUAUCAGAAGCUGAACCGACUUUCUGCUGUCCUGAUGAGCUCAUUCCACCAUUCAGGAUCAUGAACAAUCACUAAAGCUUCUCUAAAGCAAAAAGUUCAAACGCAAAGACAAACAGCAAUAAGAAAUGAGAUGGAUAAAACUCCAAUAAGACAAGAAAAACAAUUUAGUUCAAAUUUGAAAUAGUGCAUGCUUCAAUUUCAACUUAAAGCAGAUUUAGAAUUAAAUGGUGGUGACCGUCCUGAUGAUUGAGUGCUGAACUAUUCAAAAAUUAUACAUUAGAAUAUGUGUUUCUUAUUUUUGAACUUUGAUCGCUUAUUUACUCAUGAAUAUGUACAGAUUGACUAACACGUAUUAGAAAAACAAACUUUUCAGGAACUUCCCGAGUAUACUUUUUUCUUUUCCUUGGGAAUAAACAUGAAAAAGCCCAGAG